rnacentral:rRNA from 1 species
UACGUAGGGACCAAGCGUUGUUCGGAUUUACUGGGCGUAAAGGGCGCGUAGGCGGCUUAACAAGUCACUUGUGAAAUCUCCGGGCUUAACUCGGAACGGCCAAGUGAAACUGUCAAGCUAGAGUGCAGAAGGGGCAAUCGGAAUUCUUGGUGUAGCGGUGAAAUGCGUAGAUAUCAAGAGGAACACCGAUGGCGAAGGCAGGUCUCUGGGCUGACACUGACGCUCAUGCACGAAAGCGUGGGGAGCAAACAGG